GUUUGAUCCUGGCUCAGGACGAACGCUGGCGGCGUGCUUAACACAUGCAAGUCGAACGGUAAGGCCCUUCGGGUACGACGAGUGGCGAACGGGUGAGUAACACGUGGGUGAUCUGCCCUGCACUUCGGGAUAAGCUUGGGAAACUGGGUCUAAUACCGGAUAGGACCACGGUCUGCAUGGAUUGUGGUGGAAAGCUUUUGCGGUGUGGGAUGGGCCCGCGGCCUAUCAGCUUGUUGGUGGGGUGAUGGCCUACCAAGGCGACGACGGGUAGCCGGCCUGAGAGGGUGUCCGGCCACACUGGGACUGAGAUACGGCCCAGACUCCUACGGGAGGCAGCAGUGGGGAAUAUUGCACAAUGGGCGCAAGCCUGAUGCAGCGACGCCGCGUGGGGGAUGACGGCCUUCGGUUGGUAACCGUACUUUCUA
rnacentral:rRNA from 1 species